CAUAUAAAUAACCCCAAAACCUCUAAUAAAAUAAUAAACAAACCAUUUUUCCCCCUUAGUAUAGGUGAUAGAAAAGGGCACCAGGAGUAACAGAAAAAGUACCGCAAGGGAA
rnacentral:rRNA from 1 species